UGAAGAUAUAUAUUAGGAUUUUAACAUGCUUUGAAUAUCCACUUUCAGAACAGGAGACAUCCGCAGCAGGUGGGGCUUGCAAAUGAUAUUUCUAAUCAGAUGUUCAUCCAGAAAGUAAUUAACUUUAGGAAAGUAAAGGCCCUAGAGGCUUCCGAAAAGAUUUUCUUACUCUCAACUCUCCCUGAGCAUUGCUUGAUCUUUGCCUCCCCCUGAGCUGCAGAGCCCAGAGGGAAGAUGAGAAGCAAGUCCUGCUGAUAAGGAUGCGGAUCACAUUUGGGUGACUCAGAGCUGUGCGGGUUGCAGAAAGCACAUGGGUGAAGGGACAGUGAGUCCCCUGAAGACCACUAAAGCCUAAAAUACAUGAUGAGGAUCCCAAUCGUGGAUACUAGAGAUCCAUGGUUUCACGUGGAAUGGAGACCCUCCACAGUUCUGGGAAAUCUCACAUCUUUUACGGAGUCAUAUGGAAGACAAAAGAGAAGAUGACAUUGAGGAAGGCAGACAGGAGCACAGAGGUGCCAUCUGUGGUUCUUCUGGUUCCUAGUGAGAGAAGAAUAUGCCAAUGUGUUAUAUAGGAUCUAAGAGAUCACUUGGCCCCAAAUUCCCAUUUUGUAGAUGCAAAAAGGUUCAUGCUUAUUCUAGAUCAUCAUUAUGGGCAAAUUAUGACCUUUCCCAAAUUCAUAUGUGGAACCCUUAAUCCCCAGAGUGACUGACUGUAUUUUGGCAGAGAGUCUAUAAAGAGAUAAUAAAGGUUAAGUGAGAUAAUAAUAAGAAUGAGAUCUUUAUCUGAUCAGAGUGGUGUCCUUAUAAAAGUGGAAGAGACAUCAGAGUGCCCUCUCUCUCUCUUUCUCUUUGUA